UACGUAGGGUGCAAGCGUUGUCCGGAAUUAUUGGGCGUAAAGAGCUCGUAGGCGGUCUGUCGCGUCUGCUGUGAAAUCCCGGGGCUCAACCCCGGGCUUGCAGUGGAUACGGGCAGACUAGAGUUCGGUAGGGGAGACUGGAAUUCCUGGUGUAGCGGUGAAAUGCGCAGAUAUCAGGAGGAACACCGGUGGCGAAGGCGGGUCUCUGGGCCGAUACUGACGCUGAGGCACGAAAGCGUGGGGAGCAAACAGG
rnacentral:rRNA from 1 species